UACUUAGGGUGCGAGCGUUACUCGGAAUUACUGGGCGUAAAGCGUGCGCAGGCGGUGAUGUAAGACAGGUGUGAAAUCCCGGGGCUCAACCUCGGAACUGCAUUUGUGACUGCAUCGCUGGAGUGCGGCAGAGGGGGAUGGAAUUCCGCGUGUAGCAGUGAAAUGCGUAGAUAUGCGGAGGAACACCGAUGGCGAAGGCAAUCCCCUGGGCCUGCACUGACGCUCAUGCACGAAAGCGUGGGGAGCAAACAGG
rnacentral:rRNA from 1 species